UAGGCACGCCUUCAUUAUCACACCGUGUAGUCACGCUAUCGCAGUCCGUUUUAAAGCUCACCCAAAAGCGAGAGAGAGAGAGAUGUACAUCUCAUUCUCAUUCGAAUGGAGUUGGCAUUUCCUCGUCUGCAAUUUUCCCUUCACCUCACCAGAGCCCCUCUCACUAGCAAGCGCCAUAUACAAGAAACGCCCAUCUGGUCAAGAAACCGAGGGUCACCGAAAACAUUUCGGUGUCUCGCGCAAGUGGCGGUGCACACAAAUCCAGUAGCGGCAGAGUUAGAGAGUAGAAAGCAUGAUCUCUUGAGAGCCGCUCAAGAGACGCAACGUGGCCUCAUUGCAACCUCUGAUCAGCGCGCGUCCAUUGAAGAAGCCCUGGUGUGCGUGGAGGGCUACGAUGCAGGUUCAGCAAUCGACCUCACGAAAUUGGAUGGGACAUGGCGCCUGCAUUACACUUCUGCUCCCGACGUUCUCGUUCUUCUCGAGUCGGCAGCGAGGCUUCCCUUCUUCUUUCAGGUGGGGCAAAUUUAUCAAAAAUUUGAAUGCCGGGAUCAAUCUGAUGGAGGCAUUGUACGUAAUGUUGUGCGUUGGAGCAUCCCAACCCUAUUAGAGGAACAGGAAGGUGCUACUUUGCUCGUUACAGCAAAAUUUUCUGUUGUUUCAAAGCGUAAUAUAUACCUGCAGUUUGAAGAGGUUGCAGUUGAAAAUAUCAAGAUCAGUGAAGAACUGCAAGCCUUGAUAGCUCCGGCAAUCCUACCUCGGUCGUUUUUAAGCCUACAGCCUUACUGGACCGGCUUAUUUUGGGUCACUGCCACACAUGGUGGAGCAUACCUGAUGAACUCGCCGGAUCUCGUGCACAUGUGACACAUCGGGGAGAGUCAGAUCUUGCAGUUUCUCCGAACUUUCAGAGCACAAGUUCCUGUGACUAACCCAGAGAGUUUGCAGAAUUUGAAACGUCCUAUUUAUGCAAAUUGAUGUGAGCAAUGAAGAACAAUACUGCAGCAGAUCGCCUGGGGGUUUGUAUUACCUUUCAUAUCUGGACCGCGACAUGCUUCUGGGUCGUGCUGUUGGAGGCGGAGGCUUGUUUGUGUUCACCAGGGCACAACCUCUCACAUGAUGAAGAGCUGAUUCUCAGUUGCCUAUUGGUAUGUAAAGCUGAUAUACUUCUGAAACGUGCAAAAAUGAGUUUUGACAGUGUAGUAUACAACCGAUCUCUUGUAAAGAGAGAGGAAAAAGGAAAAAACUGAGCACGUGCAUAAUGUAACCAUACUUAUGUUGGCACAAGCCAUCCGUGGACACAAAUGCAUGACUCUGCCGGAUUCUGUGUUGUUGUGGAACAGAUUGCUGUGGUUUUUUGUUGUAUAUUGCUACUGCGGCUUAUGGUGAUUUUAUGCUCUGACU